CCCCACUGGAUUUCAGCCUUGCAAGGGCCCUGUAACCCCCUUUUCUGGCCAAUUUAUCCUAUUUGGAACGGCUGUAUUUAUCAAUACCUGUACCUGCAUUGUAUCUAGGAAGUAACUAGCUUGCUUUUGAUUUUACAGGCUUAUAGGUGGAAGGGACUUACCUUGUCUCAGAUGAGACUUUGGACUGUGGACUUUUGAGUUAAUGCUGAAAUGAGUUAAGGCUUUGGGGGACUAUUGGGAAGGCAUGGUUGGCUUUGAAAUGUGAGGACUUGAGAUUUGGAGGGGCAGGGGUGGAAUGAUAUGGUUUGGCUGUGUCCCUACUAAAUCUCAACUUGAAUUGCAUCUCCCAGAAUUCCCAUGUGUUAUGGGACGGAGGGACCCAGGAGGAGGUAAUUGAAUCAUGGGAGCCAGUCUUUCCCAUGCUAUUCUCAUGAUAGUGAGAUCUGAUGGGUUGAUCAGGGGUUUCCACUUUUGCUUCUCCCUCAUUUUCUCUUCCCACUGCCAUGUAAGAAGUGCUUUUCACCUCCUGCCAUGAUUCUGAGGCCUUCCUAGCUGUGUGGAACUAUAAGUCCAAUUAAACCUCUUUUUCUUCCCAGUCUCAGGUAUGUCUUUAUCAGCUGCGUGAAAACAGACAAAUACAAUUAUGUUGUAUAAACAUAGCAGGCACUUAAAGUUUAUCAGGGGUGUCUGUUUUUGCUUCUUCCUCAUUUCUCUCUUGCUGCUGCCAUGUAAGAAGUGCCUUUGCCUGCUGCCAUGAUUCUGAGACCUUUCUAGCCACGUGGAACUGAAAGGAGCCCCAGGCCUCUCAAAAAGUAUGAAAGAACUGGAAUUCACCAGAUCAUCACAUCCAGACAAUGAGACACCAGGCCCCUCAUUCAUCAUGAUGGCUUCUUUACCCCUAUGGAGUUCCUGUUUUCCCUUAGAUAGUUACAUUUCUUCCCUGCUAUAUAAACCCCUAAUUUUAGUCAAUCCCGAAGACGGAUUUGAGCUUCAGCUCCCAUCUCCUUGGCUGCAGACCUGAUUAAAGCCUUCUUCCGUGGCAGUACUUGUCAUCUCAGUCAUUGACUUUCUGUGCAGCAAGCAGCAGGACCUAGAUGCAACCUGUGGUGUUUCAGUAACACGUGUAGUAACUAACAUUGUCUGACAUGCUCAUUACAUGUCUUUUUCUAAUCCCAGUUUUGCUAUCUCCUCAAUUUUCAAUUGGAGAUUAUACCGCAUGAGGUAAUCUGUUUUGUAAAAAACAAAAAGCUAUUGGACUCUAUCCACAUGUGCAUAAUUUUUCACCCUAGAAUUAGAUCUUCCAUACUUACUUGAAAUAAUCAUAUAUAUUAGUGUAAACAGCAGAUUUAAAAAGAGAUUAGGCUUAGGUUCCGUAAACAGUAAAUGGUUAAUACGAUUUUUCAAAAUUGCUUUUUACAAGUGAAUCACUGGUUCAAACAUAGGAUAAGUUAGAAAUAAACAAAAUUAUUACCCUCUGAAAGUUAACUGGUGAUUUGGGUUCAGUUCCUAGUUUCCCCUGUACUAGUGUCCAGCCUCAACAAUUAGAUUUAAUUUAGCACGGCUGAUGGGAGCCUUCUCUGAAAGGGUUGCAUAAAUGGUUUCUGGGGUCAAGUAAUAAAAAUUCCUCCUAACUCAGGGGUGAAGUGCUGCUGAAAACUGGAACUCUUGAUAAUUUUAUGACCUCAGUUCAAUUCAGUUAGAUAAAGUAAAUACUUCUGUAGCAAUCACACACAAAGUACACAGAAAUUAAUAACUGAAGAAAUACUAUUCUGAGAACAUUGACACAUAGGCACACCUCAGCUUUUUUUUUGUUUUUAGGAUGCUAUUGCCUUCAAUUUACAGUGGUAAAACUAUAACCAUGCUUACCCAAAUUUCCCUCCCCACAGGGUAGGUGCUGCAGUUUAAUUUAAUUAGGGAGAAGUGAUUCUUACUUGGGUAUUGGUAUAUUAAUGACCAUUCUUAAAAGCUACCAGGGUCAAGUAAUUCUUUGACAAAACAUACCUAUUUGUAUUUAUCAUAUUUGAACAGAGAUAACUUGGAAACACUCAAUAAGCAGAAUGGUAAAGAAAUUUCAAAUUUUUAAUAUGAAAUCAAACAUUUUUCAUUUAAGCGUGAACACCACUGUUGCUAAACAUACUCUAUGGGUUGAAUUUUCCCAGAAACACCUGGUAACUCUCUUUCCUUUCCCUUUUGCCUCUUUAAGUAGGUGUUAAUCAUUUGCCAGAUCUGUGUUCCAGCCUAUCUAUGGUUCAGAGUCAAUAUUCAUAAUACAUGGCGGUGGUGGUGGUGUGUGUGUGUAUGUGCGCACGUGCAUGUGUUUGUGAGUCUUUGUUGAUUCUACUGAGUUGAUGUUUUUUUAACAAUGUCUUUGUCCAGAAUAUGUACGUAUUAGAGUUCCUCAGAUAACCUUCUACAACUUAAAUUCAAACUGCAAUCACUCCAAACUUGCUGACCUAUUUGCAAAUCUUUACACAUAUCUUUGCAUAUCUAUUUUCUCAUUUUCUUUCUUCUCUUCUCAUACUACUAUUUUUCACUUCUCCAUAUCUAAUUUUUCUUCAGUUGUUUAUAUCUGUAUUAGGGUUUAAACCCUGAGGUUUGUUCUUUCCCAUUCUCUGAACAAAGAGAGAGAUUCAUUCAAAAUUUGGAGAAAACCCAUCACUGAAGCAGUAAACAUCUGGCUUUGGGCAGUAUUGCUACAGAGCACGAUUGUAAAACACAUACUGUUUUCUGACACUUUUUCUUUUAUUUGCUUCUUUCUUUUGUUUGUUUUUUUAGUUCCUUAAUUUAAAAAUAAAUAUGUUAAUUAUAGAAGAAAUUAAAUAUAAAAAGUAUAAGUGAGAAAAAUCAAAGUCAUCCAUAUGCUUAACUCCUAGAAAGAGCCUGUUAACUUUCUGCUAAAUUGCCUUCUGAUCUUUUUCUAGUGUACGUGAAGGCUAGUUUGUAUAUAUAUGAAUAUAUUUAAAUAAAAUGCAUUUGCAUAUACAUGUACUUAUACAUACAUUCACGUAUAUUUGCAUACUUGGGAUCAUAGUGUAUAUAUUUCUUUAUCCAAUUUCUUACUUAUUAUAUUGUGAAUAAUUCCCAUGCCAUUUAACCUUCUUUUUC
rnacentral:lncRNA from 1 species